CCUUUUUUUAAUUUAUUUCAAGCGCCACCCGAGCACGUAAUCCGGGCGACGUGCAAAAAGCAGCUCUGGAAAAUUGAACCGCACGUGUGAACGCGGGGGAAGGGCCGGGAGGGCGAGGGGGUGCAGGACGCGGCGAGUGCCCCCCCCCCCCGGGAAGGAGGCCCUGCGGGUGGGGGGCACCAGUCCAGGGUGGCAGCAGGGGGGACGGAGGCCCCGCUCUGGAGCGGGCGGGCGGUGGGGGAAGCAGACCCGGAGCGGGAGGCUGGUUGGGGCAGCAGGGCCCCGCUGCCUCCCCUCCUCGGGCUCCGCAGGGCGGGCGAGGGUCCUGCCCCUGGGCCGGGAGGUAGAGCCCAAACCCCUAACGGCGGUGACGGGAGAGCAGAGGUACCAAAACUUGAAUUUUUUGCGGCCAGGGAAUGGCACGCCUGGGAGCGAAGGUACCGGGGCGCGCGGAGGUGCCUACCUGGCGCUGGGCACGACCGCCUGCGGUCCGCCACGCUGCCCCUCGUCCCUGCUCCCGCGGUCGAGGCCCCUCAGGAGCUCGGCCGAGCCGUGGAGACGUGCCGGGUGGCGGCUGGAUGCGCUGCGGGCGGCUCCAGGACGGCUCGGAAAGGGCUGGAGGGAGGCCGGGCCCUGGGCGGCCRUGCAGAGCCCCUCCGGCCUUCCCGGCCUCGGAGCUUCGGCAGAGCUCCAGCGCAAGCCCUCCGGAAAAAGGAGGUUGGCGCAGGCAUYUCCCCAAAACGAGGUGACAUCCACUGCUGCAAGGGCUCCGUCUUCUCCCUGGGUCGUGACGUUUUGGAAGAAUUUGGAAGAAGGAAUUUCUUCACAGGCCCUGCCGCACAGAGCGAAGGUACAGUAAUAUGGGUGAUAYCGCAUGGGAGGUACAGAGUUGUCAGUG
ensembl:lncRNA